rnacentral:lncRNA from 1 species
GCUCGUUAAAAGUCCUCGGCGAAAUAUAAAAAGAAGUAUUUCAACAAUUUAUACUAUAGAAUAUUAAAAUGAAAUUAUAUCGUACAAGAAAGAAAUAUGUAAAAAAAAAUGUGGAUCGGAUUUUUACGAUCGACACAUUUUCACAGAGGAUCUCACCAACGCCCAUCAGGAACUGAACGACAUGCAUCCUGUUUUCAUCUACCAUUAAUGUAUAGUGUUGACUAUGGAAGUAUAAAUAAUGUCCAGGUUUAUGUCCUCUGUUGACUGAGAAACGUAUAAAUAAAAGGCUGAUGUUCGUUUAUUCAGAAAAGGAAUAAAAUUUAGAAUCCGGUUAAUCAAUUGUAAAAGGACCUUCUAGAGCCUCAAUCUUAACGCACACAAAUGUCAAUCAUUACAAAGCAAGUUUAAACCUUCAAUGAAUUUUCCCACGGUUAUCCAGAAAGGUCACCUGAGUUUACUGUUACAUGAUACUAUUUCCCGCCAAAUAAAAAUCUCGUGGACAAAAUUGAUGUCACUAUUUUUAGCAUUCAAUAUUGUGAGCGAAGUCAAGUUCAAGUUCAACCACGCACUGUUGAUCACUGAGAUGCGUGUCGUCUUCCCACGGCAAUUAAUUGUUUAAAAAUAUUUAAAGAUCACUGUUCUAAAUACAAC